rnacentral:rRNA from 1 species
UACGGAGGAUCCAAGCGUUAUCCGGAAUCAUUGGGUUUAAAGGGUCCGUAGGCGGGUUAUUAAGUCAGUGGUGAAAGUUUUCGGCUUAACCGAAAAAUUGCCAUUGAUACUGGUAGUCUUGAAUUAUUGUGAAGUAACUAGAAUAUGUAGUGUAGCGGUGAAAUGCUUAGAUAUUACAUGGAAUACCAAUUGCGAAGGCAGCUUACUAUGGUGCAAUUGACGCUGAGGCACGAAAGCGUGGGGAUCGAACAGG